rnacentral:rRNA from 1 species
GACGGAGGGUGCAAGCGUUGUUCGGAUUGACUGGGCGUAAAGGGCGUGUAGGCGGUCGGCCAAGUCUGAUGUGAAAGCCCGAGGCUCAGCCUCGGAAGUGCGUCGGAAACUAGUCGGCUGGAGCGCGAUAGAGGAGGGUGGAAUUCCUGGUGUAGCGGUGAAAUGCGUAGAUAUCAAGUGGAACACCAGUGGCGAAGGCGAGUCUCUGGACAUUUCCUGACGCUGAGGCACGAAAGCCAGGGGAGCAAACGGG